UACGAAGGGGGCUAGCGUUGUUCGGAAUCACUGGGCGUAAAGAGCGUGUAGGCGGCCAGACAGGUCCGUUGUGAAAACUGGAGGCUUAACCUUCAGACGUCGAUGGAAACCGUCUGGCUAGAGUCCGGAAGAGGAGAGUGGAAUUCCUGGUGUAGCGGUGAAAUGCGCAGAUAUCAGGAAGAACACCCGUGGCUAAGGCGGCUCUCUAGUACGGUACUGACGCUGAGACGCGAAAGCGUGGGGAGCGAACAGG
rnacentral:rRNA from 1 species